GUUAGCUAAUAAUACUAAUUAAAAAAUACCUGAACAAAAUAUUCUCUGACACAUACUUACAUACAUACACAAAAAUGGAUGUUAAUAAAGUUGAUGAAGAUAAUCCACGUAGUAUCAACGAUGGUGAUUGGGUCUGUCCAGAUUCUCAGUGUGCUAAUGUCAAUUUUGCAAGACGAAGCUCUUGUAAUCGUUGUGGAAAAGACAGAGGUGAAUGUACAAAGAAGAAAAAGUUGGGACAAGAAAUUGGUAAAGCAGCUGCAGAAAAAAGUAGAGGAUUGUUUAGUGCAGAUGAUUGGCAAUGUAGCAAAUGUGGUAACGUGAAUUGGGCACGUCGACAACAAUGUAAUAUGUGUAAUGCACCUAAAUUUGGUGAAAUAGAAGAACGUACUGGAUAUGGUGGUGGUUACAAUGAUCGGGGUAUCGUUGAAUAUAAAGAAAGAAGAGAAGAUGACGAUGAUUAUGAUGAAUUUGGUAGACGUAAAAAAAAGAGGAAGAUUGAAAAUCGUUCUGACGAUGAUUCUAAAGAUUCUAGGUACAACAGUCCUUCUCAUUGUAAAGCCAAAGAAGAUGAAAAAGAUGAGAUAGCUGAGGAAGAAGUAGAAAAAGUUAAAGAAAAUGAUAAUGAAGAAGAAGAAGAAGAAGAAGAACAAGCAGAAGAAGAGGAAGAAGAGGAAGAAGAGGAAGAAGAGGAAGAUGAAGAGGAAGAUGAUGAUGAUGACGAUGGAGAUUUAUCAAAAUAUGAUCUUAGUGAAUGGGACACCUUGGGAGCAGUUAAAAAUAGCACAAAUGGAAAUACAGUUACUUCGGAAGAACAACGGUCAAGGUAAUGAGGAAAUGGAGAUGAUUGGCGUGAUUCAGGUACAUCCAGCCACUGAGAAGUUAUGCAGAAGGACAGGCAGAAGAAAAUACUUGGAGCAACAA
rnacentral:misc_RNA from 1 species